AAACAAACAAACGGCUCUCUGAGCCAGCUACAGAUUUGCCCGAGGAUGAAAGUACAUCUCUUCCCAGAGCAAAAGCACAAGAGCUGGUGUGGAUUUUAAUGGUGCCCUGCAGUGCUGGGAUAGCCACCUUCCCACCCCUUCCAGCAUGCUUGUGGCGAUGUCUGGGCUGGCUGAUGUCUACUGCAACACUUCCUGUGGCUGCAGCAGGGUGGCACAGGUCUCCAGGUUAAAUGUGACUUGCACCAGUUUGACUUGCAAAUCCAUUUCACUGCAAAUUAAGCCCAGACACCGCUAACAGCAAUUACAGUGAUCACAACAUCAAAGAUGGAGUUGUUUUUUCCAGGAGUUUUGCAUAAGUAGACACAUAAGGGAAACGGAAGCUGUAUUUUUGCAAUCUUCUCCCCAGAACUUCUGACGUACUAAAUAGAGGAUGAUACAGCUUCUUACCAGCAUAAAUCCUGAUGCACAGUCCCAGCAUUCAGAACAUCUGCUGGGACAAGAGGAAGAAGAAUCAGGAAGAGAGCUAAAUCCUAGAUCAAGCCUUCAGAGAGACCAUAGUAGCUCUUGUCUUCUGCCAUGAUGCCCUCAUGCAAGAAUAAAGGUGGCUUCCCAGCACCAAGUGCCCCCAAAUCCCACAAGGAAUUCAGAGUCACCGGUUUUUCUAGCCUUGUGACAGACAGACUGCCACGUCACUGCAUGUCAUCUUCUUUUUCCGGUGCACACUCAAUUUGCUCUGUACUUUCCAGUUUUGCUGGGGCUGUUGGGCUUCUGCGCGCGCUCCGUCAGCUGACACUGAGUCAGUCCAGGAGGCUGGGCAGGACUUUCUGAGAACGCCCACCAAAGCCUUGGCUGACGGUGAGUGCAGGCUCAUCCUGAGAAGCCGUGCACCUUUCCUCCCCCGAGCUGCAAACUUUCACUGAGGACAAACACAGUGACAGGCACUGCCAGCCCCACUGCAGCACAGGGAAAAAAAAAAAAAAAAAAAACAAUGCCCCCUCCCCACCCCCCCCCCCCCCAAAAAAAAAAAACAAAACAGAAACUGACUGACUUAACCAUUUCCAAGAAAAACAGAGAAGCACUUUUCUUUUUAAUUCAUCAUUUUCAUGAAUGAGUUAUUCAUGCACUUGUGGCAAUUCUUGCAUUCUUAAAAACAAAAAACAAAACAAAACAAAAAAAACAAUACGGUGACAUCCAUUGGCUCCCAGUGGCACAGGGAUCGACAUGGAGGGGGCAGGGCAGCCAAGAGCUUCCGAGUUGCAAGGAAGAAGCAUGAUACAGCUGCACCAUUCAGCACAGCAACUGCACCAUUGACAACAUAAACAUUCUACUUUCUGAGAUAAAAUAUAUUAUAUAUAUAUAUAAUAAUUUGCACAUAAGUAAUCUAGCCUGGAAACUGAAAUACCACAAUUACAGCAAUU
rnacentral:lncRNA from 1 species